rnacentral:rRNA from 1 species
UACGGAGGGUGCAAGCGUUAAUCGGAAUUACUGGGCGUAAAGCGCGUGUAGGCGGCCCGGUAAGUCCGCUGUGAAAGUCCAGGGCUCAACCCUGGGAUGCCGGUGGAUACUGUCGGGCUCGAGUCCGGAAGAGGCGAGUGGAAUUCCUGGUGUAGCGGUGAAAUGCGCAGAUAUCAGGAGGAACACCAAUGGCGAAGGCAGCUCGCUGGGACGUGACUGACGCUGAGACGCGAAAGCGUGGGGAGCAAACAGG